CGAGAAGAGCGUCUUCUGGGGUAAAUAUUGUGCAGGCACUUAAUCGAAAUCUUCCAAAAUCAUGACACCGAGGAGAGUUAUAGCUGGUGUGCUCUUUGCCAUUAUCGCCCUGAGCCAACUUCGCCCCGGUGGCGGAGCAUGCCCUGGCACCGAAACGCAGUGCGAUGCCGGCUGCUGUCCCCU